rnacentral:rRNA from 1 species
UACGUAGGGUGCGAGCGUUUAAUCGGAAUUACUGGGCGUAAAGCGUGCGCAGGCGGUGAUGUAAGACAGAUGUGAAAUCCCCGGGCUCAACCUGGGAACUGCAUUUGUGACUGCAUCGCUGGAGUGCGGCAGAGGGGGAUGGAAUUCCGCGUGUAGCAGUGAAAUGCGUGGAUAUGCGGAGGAACACCGAUGGCGAAGGCAAUCCCCUGGGCCUGCACUGACGCUCAUGCACGAAAGCGUGGGGAGCAAACAGG